UUACCAGUGGCCAGUAGUGCGUCUACUGCCCAAUUGACCAGGUGUUGGCAGCGAAGGCAGAAGGCACAUUUGAUAGAAUCAAAUGAAUUCUCGAUGGAGUGAGCAGAAAUUGCUCCAAGACAGCACCCUAGGGGCAAAGCAUAAACAGGAGAUGCACAGAAUCCAGAAAUGGAUAAAAAUGAUGAAGAACCACAGCAAAUACCGCGGCAGUGAGUGCCCCUCAGGAACACUGAGAGCUAAGUUGGGGUUUGAACAGUGCCCAUUCCUGUGCCAGGCACUGCCUGCCUCUCAGAUGCCCAGGGGCAACUGUCCAACCCCUAGCGACAUAGGUCAUCUGCACCCCUUCCCCAUACACACAGGACACUGCCCUGGUAGAAAAUCUGAAGUCACUGCUGAAGACAAUCCUGGAUGCAGGGCAGGUGUGAUUCCAGGUGCCCUGUAGGGGGCAGUCAGUGCACAGCAGAUCCAGGGCCCCUGAGCCCUUGGCCCUCCAGUCACUGUGGGUCAUAAGGCCCCCAUCUGGGCAGAUCCUCCCCUGGCUUCUCCCUCCUGCUGUCUCACCCUAUGCUCCCUCCCUGAGUGGCCAUGUUCACCACUCACCAGAGCCUCCUCUCUCCUAUAGUUUCAGUGGAGAAUUUACAAAGGCAUCCCUGCCCAGGUGCAUGGGAAGGGGUGGGCCAUGAUGCUGGAGGUGGACAAAAAGAAGGCCCAGAAUCCAGGCAAAUACGCGGUAUGGCUCUGCACUCAGCCCAAGGGAGCCUGAGCUGCUCGGGCCUGGUCAGGAGCCUGAGUCUCCAUGGUGGACCGUCCCUCACUGAGCCCUUGGGAGCCUCCUCCCCAUCCUGCCUUCCUCUCCCUAGAUCCUAGUCAGUGCCUCCUCCACAUCUCCUCAGACCCAGCUGGGACUGGGCAGGUGUGUUUUGUGCCAGAGGCUUUAACCUGCUCUCUGCUGAGCUCACUUAGGCAGCUUGGGAUAAGGCCAGAACAGAGGAAUUGCUGGUCCAUGAAUAGCGGGGUCUCCCAGUGUGAGAUCACAAUGGUGUGAGGUCGGGAGCCCCACAGGUUCUGUGCUAACAGGGCUUGCCCUUCACUGGCCCUGCCUUCACAUGGACUUGCAGCCCCUAGCAUUGCCCUUGCCUGCAGUGGCUGGUCCAAUGGUUAGACAGCUCUCAAUGCUUCUGGGAAAGGAGGGAGCAAGGACUGGUGUGAGCAGAGGGCUGUCAACUGCAGCUGGCUCUCAUGUCCCUGGAUGCCAUCAGGGAGAAGGGCCCAGCUGUGUGGCCCACCCUGCCUCUCCUAAGUCUGCAGUUUGGGGCUGCCCUGGGAGCUGGGCCUGAAACAGUCAUUGCCCAGACUCAGCUCCAAGCAAAGGGCGGCUUCCAACAUCUAGAUGGAGAUGGGCCCCUCCAGCAGGGGGCAGCAUGGAGGUGUGGUCAGGCUGUGGCUGACUCCUGGAGGGCCUGAGACACCAGUGAGGAGGAUUGGAAGCCUGGCUGGGGUCAGACCGAGUCUGUGCUGAGAGCUGAGGGCAGGCAGGGGUAGUGCACAGGGACCUUUCAGAGCCCCUGGCUGAUGCUGACCAUCAGGGUCUCAGUGCCCCCCCCCAGCAGGGAUGCUGGCCACGGGGGUGACGUGGAUGCUGAGGCAAGUAGGGAGCCCAUGACCCUCCUUCAACGUGGGACCCAGAAAGGAAUGAGCUCCCUGCAGGGAACCCUCCCUGUCAGCCAGAAGAGCUGACAUGGACUUGAGGUCCUUGUGUGGCAAUGGGGCUUUUGCAGUUCUUCAUGUUGUCCCCCUCCUUGUCCCUGCUCUGCAGGAGAUGAAAGAGCAGGACAGACUGGGUGCAAGUCACUUCCAUCACAUCGACUCCGCCAUCACAUGGACUUUCAGAAACCACCUGAUCUUCCAGGAACGUUACAGAAUGAAGUGAGGCCUCUGGGCUGGGAAGGACCCAGGGUGGGAGGAGCAAGGGUCCUGGGGCACAUGGGGUCCCUAGGGAAGACUUGGGUGCAAACCUAAAAUAGUUCAUUUAGCACAGAAAACAAAAUUGCCUUUUAGAUAUUACAUAAACUUUUUUAUAUUAUAUAAACUCCCAAAGACACUGUAGAGAGAAUGAAAUGAAAAGAAACACAAGGGGAGACAAUAUUAGCAAUCUACCUAAUAAAGGUAUUAUUUCCAGAAUAUUCAAGGAGCCCUUCACCUCAGUAACAAGGAAGCAGAGGACAGCUGCCCAGUACCCCAGGGACACAGACUCAGGAGGGCCCCUUCAUAACGGCACACACAAUUCACCUCCUCAACGAUGAACACAUGCUUAGCACCUAAACCACAAUGGGGCACCAGCGCACAGUUGUGAGAAUGGGGGAACUAAAACCACUGAGAGGUCGGUGCCAUGGCUCAAUAGGCUAAUCCACCUAGCGUCGCUGGCAUACCGGGUUCUAGUCCCGGUCGGGGCUCCGGAUUCUGUCCCGGUUGCCCCUCUUCCAGGCCAGCUCUCUGCUGUGGCCCAGGAGUGCACUGGAGGAUGGCCCAAGUACUUGGGCCCUGCACCCCAUGGGAGACCAGGAGAAGCACCUGGCUCCUGCCUUCAGAUCAGCGCAGUGCACCGGCCGCAGUGUGCCAGCCUUGGCGGCUAUUGGAGGGUGAACCAACAGCAAAAGGAAGACCUUUCUCUCUGUCUCUCUCUCACUAUCCACUCUGCCUGUGAAAAAAAGAAAAAAAAAAAACACUGAGGACGCUGGGUGCUGGGGACAAUGUGAGGUGAGUGCCACUCCAGUUCAUUGCCAGGAACAGAGAACAGAAGCCCAGGCCCUUGGCAGCACCCAGGGCUGUUUCUCAUAAUGAGAAACACACACCUUCCACAUGAACCCCCAGCACACACGCACAUGUACACAACCACUAGAACAGCUGAGUGCACAGAAAACACACAAGAUUCACGGUUGUGUUCACAGUCAUGGGACACAGGAAUAGCCUGCAUGAUGCUCAGUGGGGAAACAGAUAAGCAACCCGUGUCACAGCUGAAUCCUAGAACGGGAUUCAGUGAGAGGCAGGACGAGGCUCAGCCCUGGGCUCACCUGGAUGCAUCUCAGGUGCAUUCUGCUAAGAGAGGAAGCAUCCCUCAAAGGCUACACAUGCUAUGAUCCACUCAGGACAUCUGCAAGAGGCCAAACCCUGGGACACACAACAGGGCAGUGGUGGCCAUGGGCUGGGGGAGGUGGAGAGUUUGGCCACAGAGAGCUCAUGGGGAAUACAUAGGCGACAGGAGUUGCUCCCUACCAGGCUGAACGUGCAUGGGAGGCUGAUUCUCCAUGGCUUAGAUCCAUGGGACUGCACCUCCCACAGUGGAACGCUCACCUGUGCAAUGAACACCCACCUGGGGAAAUGAAACUGCACCUGACUGCACCCUGAGAGGUGUGUGUGUCCCUGCAGGCAGCGCUCACCCACACAGUGGACAACACGCAGGUGCCCUGAUGACAUCACUGCUCAUGAGCAGAGUGUCACAGGCUCUGUGUGUGGCUGUCAGGCUCUGUUAGGCAGAGCCACACUGAGAGCCUCGGCAGCACAGGACGCACAGCCUCUGUCCUCUCUCUUCCAGUCAAUGCACCUUAUUCCAAGUGCUCAUGGAGUAUUCCGUAUACAAUCCCGUGAGUAUUCUGGGAUCAUAUCGCAGGUGCUAUCCCGGCAGUCCCUGCAGGGCACCCCUGGUCACAGAGAUCCCAGCCUGGGUUGAGGAGGCCUCUCUCAUUCACAACUCCAAGACAGAGGAGUAGGGGCCAAGCUCCAGGCCUCCUUGGACCCAACCUCAAGUUCUGGGAGGAGAAAGGCAGCCUUCUCCUGGGCUGGCCUCCAGACCCCAGGAGUUUGGCGGUGUUGGGUUGCCCCUCCCAGGACUAGCAUUCCACAUGGGGGUGGGGGGUGAAGGCAGGGCAGAUAAGGUGUAUGACUUUGCUCAUCAAAGUUGAGUCUGGGUCCCACUGAUGCCAUUAUACCCACCAGACAUGUGGUUGGACCCAUGGGCCUGAAUCCCACUCCACACAGCACCACUGCCACAACCACCCACUCAGACCUUUCCCAUGAGUGGAGCAGGUGCAGGGCUCCAUGGGUGACCCAGCAAGGCCUGGACAUCCCCAUGCCCCUGACCUGCCACUGGCCAACCCUGCCUGGUGCCCUGGUUCCCAGGGGGCCUGGCACUCAGGAAGCCCAGGCCUACACCCAUGACAGAGGCACACCUCCUGUUCUGGUCCUGGUAGCACUUCCUGGCUUACUUCUUCCUCAAGUGAGAAAGGGCCACCAGGUCACCUGCAGAGCUCAGGGGUCCAGAGCUUCCAUGGGCAUGGAUCUGGAUUCCCACAGCAACCUGGCCCAUCCUGACAUCUUGGGGGUAACAGGUGUCCAUACUUCAGGUCUCCCCCCCUGUGCUGCCUAAGCUCAGGCCCUGCAGGAUUCCCUCAAGGAACUUGGAGAACUUCUAUAGGCUCCAAUUCUUGGGCUGCUGACACCAAAUGGCAGGAUUCAGGCACAGGGGCUCCCUCCCCAAUCUUCCUAGACCCUUCAGUGGGUGACACUGAUCUCCCUGAGAGGUGGGUCAUCCCAGGAUAUUAUUCUUGCCAAGGGAGGUCUCCUAAAGGUUUUCUGGGAUCUUGCAGGAGGUGGGAUACAGCCAGGGCCUGAGCCAUGUUGUGGGGCUCUUACUCAUGUUCAUGCCUGAGGAAGACUUUUUAUGGGCCCUGGUCCAGCUCAUGGAAAACAGCAAGCACACAAUGCAUGGUAGGUGGAUGGCGUGUGGGGCCCAGAGCAUGCAAGUCCAUGCAAGGCCCUCAAUGGCUCCUGAAUGUGCAGGACAAUGUCCCGGUGGGGGGGGCUCCCUGUAAGCCAGGGCUGGCAGAGGAAUCCUAGACUGAGCCAGCCCCCUUCUUUUACCACCUUCCAAAGGCUCUGCAGCUUCACCAUGGCCAUCCUGGGUGUGGGAACCUUGAGAACAACUCAGGUUGUUUCUGGCUCUUCUGCCUCACACAUCUCUACACAGCCUCUCAAGCACAGAGCCACACCCAGGGAACUUGCAGAAGCAGCAUCCCCUGUAGGGUCACCCCCUCAUCACCCCUGAAUCUUGGAAUGGUCAGGAGACACCCAGUUUGACAGCACUCACCUCAGCAGUAUCCAGGGGGCAGCCUGGCCUGGGCUGCACACAGUCACCCACCUGCACCCACCUCCCAAGCAGGUCCUCUGCCCUGGCCACAUUCAUUCCCACCUGCCCCUGGUCGAGCCUCCCCUGACCCUCAGUGCUCAGAAACACCCCACCCCAGCCUUUGGCUCUCCAGCCUUCCCAGGAGGAGGCUCUACCGUGGGGGUGUGGCUGAUACUACUCAGGUUUCUACAAACCAAACACCCCAAAACUGGAGCGAUUCCAGCAACACCUACAUGUGGGCAGGGCUAGAGGGAGGUGGGUCUUGUGGGAGACCCUGCACAGUGAAGGCCAAAGCCAGCCAACACUGGGUCCCUUUCAGCCAUCUAAGGACCCCUGGACUGCCCAAGUGCCCCGAGCCCAGUUAUGGGGGCUGAGUGCACUCCUGUGAGCAGGGUGGGCACAGAGGCAGGUGCUGGGGGCCCCCAUGGCAGAACCCAAGUGCAGCUGAGUGUGAGCUCCGCAGUCCUAGCCCAGCAUAAGUCAGUGGAACCCGGAGCAUUGCUGGCCUGUGGGCUUGUCCCCUGCUGCUGCUGCCAUCAAUGACCUGAGCGCUUGGGACCCCGUGCAGAGCAGAGAUGGAUUUGUCCCAGCUCUACAGGCUGGCAGUGGGGGCCCAGGUGCAAAGCUGUUCAGGCACUGGGGUGGCCCCACUGUGCUUCUAGGUGCUGCCUCCCCUCGGUGCUCAUGGGACAGAAGCAGCGACAGCCUAGUCUCACCAGGAAAGGGACAGUGGUCCAGGGUCAGAGGACACAGGGCACCCUGCCACCUCUUUAGAAACCACCUUCCCUGUCCCCGAGGGCCUGAACCAGAUUCCAUGUCUGCCCCACAGCCCCAGCUCUCACUCCCAUCAUCUUAGGCUCAGUUCCUUUCCAGCCAUUUAGGAGGAAUUUAGAUGCAGGUAACUCAGCCAAUGCACUACUAGGACCCAGGAGGUCAGGUGGGGUAGGUGGCAGGGUCCUGAGUUGGUGCCUUGGUCCCCAGAGAUGAGAGAGUGAGGUGGGGUGGGCAAGGCCAACAACCCGUGUGGCUGUAUAGAAGGAGCUGGAGCUGUCCCAGGGCUCCCCUGGCCCAGGCUGCACACACCCUCCCCUCUGGGGCCAGCAGCCUGGAAGAGUCCUCAGCAUCACCCGUGGACCUGGGUGUGUUAUUUAAAGCCUUGUGCCUCAGUUCCCUCAAGUGGAAGUGUUACUAACCAGACCAAAUACACAUGGUUAUGAGAAGAAGUCAACAGUUGUUUCUAGAGACCAGUACUGUGUGGUAUAUCAGGUAAAGCCAUUGGCUGCAACAUCAGCAUCCCAUAUGGGCUCCGGUUCAAGUCCCAGCUGCUCCACUUCCCAUCCAGCUCUCUACUAUGGUCUGGGAAAGCAGUAGAAGGUGGUCCAAGUGCUUUGGGUCCCUGCACCCACAUGGCAGACCUAGAAUCAGCCCAGGAUCAGCCCAGGUCUGGCUGUUGGGGCAUCUGUUAAUUCUGAUUUCCACAAAUUUUUUUGAAUAGCUUUGAAUAUAAAAGGAGAGGUAUUAUGAAGAACUGGUUCCCAAGAAACAUGAGGCUAAGAAUUCCCUCCAUCUGCAGUCUGCAUGCUGAAGUCACAGGAAAGCCAGCUGUUGUAACUGAAUCUGAGUCCAAGGCCUGUGAAGCACAGCAGCCAGUGGUGUUAAUUCCAGGCCAAGGGCAGGAGAAAGAGAGGUUAGAUGUCCCAACUCAACAAUGAGGCAGAAGAAAGGGGGCAAAGUCCUUUCUCAGUGUUUUGCUCUGUUUGGGCCAUCAAUGGGUUAGGAGAUGCCCACUCACCCUGGGGAGAGGUUCUACAUCACUGAGCCCCUUGACUCACACAAACUCAUCCAGAAACACUCUCGUAACACACCUACACAUUGCAGUUUGUUUUAUUUUGUUUUUGUUUUAAGAUUUAUUUGUUUAUUUGAAAGGCAGAGUUACACAGAGAGGAAGAGACAGAGAGACAGAGAUCUUCCAUUCACUGGUUCACUCCCCAAAUGGCUGCACCAUCCAGGCCUGGGCCAAGCUGAAGCCAGGAGCCAGGAGCUUCUUCCAGGUCACCCACGUGGGUGGCAAGGCCCCAAGUACUUGGGCCAUCUUCUGCCACUUUUCCAGGCCAUCAGCAGGGAGCUGGAUCAGGAGUAGAAGAAAUGCACAUUGGCACUCACAUGGGAUGUCAGCAUAGCAGGCGGUGGCCUCAUGCACUAUACCACAACACCAGCCCCUAGACAUCAUGUUUAUCGGGGUACCCCAUGUCCCAGUCAGAGCUCCUCAGCAAAGAUGUUACUAUUGGAACACACCCCCAGGUUGCAAUCCCAGCAUGACUCAGGAAGAGAGUAAUUAGUUUCUUCUAAUCACAAACACUUUGUAAUCAAACUGUAUAUAAAUAUAACUAUAUGUAGAAAAAAAUGGAAGAAAAAUUCUAUAAAAUG